CUUGACUGAGCCUGAAAGACCGACUUUAAAUUAAGUCCACCUUUAAGCCCCCCUUCCUUAAACCCAUUUCACAUGAAUUGGCAGGAAUGUCACAAACAAGCUCAAGAUGUAGACGACUGUGUUCUCUCCGACUGGGAGGAGGCCAAACACGAGCUCUGUAGGACCUCCCAUUUCUCCAUCAGCUGCAUGGGGCACAGAAGACACUGAAGACAAUUACAAAAGAUACUUUACAGAGUAACAGAAGGCAAGAAACAUUACCAGCCCGAAGCUCCGAAAUAGCAUAUGAGGUCAACAACUCCCUUGGGGGAUUAAAACCCUGAAAGACUGCAAGAGAAAACUUCCCCAGUGAGAAGAUAUAUAGGCUAUAGGGGGAUGCCGAUCCUCCGCUGGCCUAUAGGUUGAGUUGGUAACAGUUGAAAGGUGAUGAAGAUGAAGUUCACAAGUAGAAAAUCUACAUGAAGGGACAUAAAGCAUGCAGUUCAGAGGGGCGGGGGGAUGGACUUGUAGCACCGCAUUCCCCUUCACUGUCUGCUCUCCCCAGGGCAGUGAGUGGACAAAGAGCAACUUGUUUGAUGUGGGCUUUGCUCUUUAUCUCUCUGCGCGCCACGCUGUCCCAGGGGAGAACAAUGGAGAAUGUUACCCGCAUGACAGAACACAGAAUGUUAGCCCUGUGGCUCUGUGAAGAGAAUUUCAAACAGUAUUAGCAAUUCCAGGGGUAAGUGGACUGAAGUUUCAGAACAGUGUUCUGAUGCAGUCUUUCCUUGCAAAUAACUACAAAACAGCAAACAAAACAGCAAGGAGGUUAAUGUCCCCAGCUGAUUGCUUCCCGCCACGUCUAGCAUUCUCCUCCUUCAAUUUCAGAACAAGUAUAUCCUGAUGUAGAAGAUAUAUUGGUAACCUUCUUGAUGGCCUCACAUCAGACCAACCCUGACCUUUACCAGACUCAUCACAAUUUGUGUUAUUCAAGUUGUCACCUUUAAAUUCACAUGAACCUGGGGAAGCCAGGCACGUUUUCCCAGGCCAGGAAAAAUAUUGACAACCUGCACUAUCAUUGCAAUGGAGCUGCAGUGUAUACUUUGAAUGUGGAAUAGAAGCCAAAAUAGACAAUAUACAAUAUUGUGUUGAUUUUUGUACUAAUUAACAAUAAAGGGACUGUGGUACAUGUUGCAAAUGAAUCCCAUUUAAGGCGGCCAUGUGGAACUGGUUAGUUUUCACUCUUCAUUUGGUCUCUAGGCAUUUCCCUGUCCAAUGUUUCAGAUGAU